rnacentral:rRNA from 1 species
UACGAAGGGGGCUAGCGUUACUCGGAUUGACUGGGCGUAAAGGGCGCGUAGGCGGUUUGUACAGUCAGACGUGAAAUUCCUGGGCUCAACCUGGGGGCUGCGUUUGAUACGUGCAGACUUGAGUUCGGAAGAGGGUCGUGGAAUUCCCAGUGUAGAGGUGAAAUUCGUAGAUAUUGGGAAGAACACCGGUGGCGAAGGCGGCGACCUGGUCCGAUCUGACGCUGAGGCGCGAAAGCGUGGGGAGCAAACAGGG